rnacentral:rRNA from 1 species
GAAUAUUGGACAAUGGGCGCAAGCCUGAUCCAGCCAUGCCGCGUGUGUGAAGAAGGCCUUAGGGUUGUAAAGCACUUUCAGUGGGGAGAAAGGUCAUUCACCUAAUACGUGAGUGAAUUGAUGUUACCCACAGAAGAAGCACCGGCUAACUCCGUGCCAGCAGCCGCGGUAAUACGGAGGGUGCAAGCGUUAAUCGGAAUUACUGGGCGUAAAGCGCACGUAGGUGGUUUGUUAAGCUAGCUGUGAAAUCCCCGGGCUCAACCUGGGCACUGCAGUUAGAACUGGCAAGCUAGAGUAGGGUAGAGGGGUGUGGAAUUCCAGGUGUAGCGGUGAAAUGCGUAGAUAUCUGGAGGAACAUCAGUGGCGAAGGCGACACCCUGGACUCAUACUGACACUGAGGUGCGAAAGCGUGGGGAGCAAACAG